GAUGAACGCUAGCUACAGGCUUAACACAUGCAAGUCGAGGGGCAGCAUGGUCUUAGCUUGCUAAGGCCGAUGGCGACCGGCGCACGGGUGAGUAACACGUAUCCAACCUGCCGUCUACUCUUGGACAGCCUUCUGAAAGGAAGAUUAAUACAAGAUGGCAUCAUGAGUCCGCAUGUUCACAUGAUUAAAGGUAUUCCGGUAGACGAUGGGGAUGCGUUCCAUUAGAUAGUAGGCGGGGUAACGGCCCACCUAGUCUUCGAUGGAUAGGGGUUCUGAGAGGAAGGUCCCCCACAUUGGAACUGAGACACGGUCCAAACUCCUACGGGAGGCAGCAGUGAGGAAUAUUGGUCAAUGGGCGAGAGCCUGAACCAGCCAAGUAGCGUGAAGGAUGACUGCCCUAUGGGUUGUAAACUUCUUUUAUAAAGGAAUAAAGUUGGGUAUGGAUACCCGUUUGCAUGUACUUUAUGAAUAAGGAUCGGCUAACUCCGUG
rnacentral:rRNA from 1 species